UAAAUAAAUUAUAAGGUACGCUUCCUACAUACAAACCAUUUAUUAUUAAUAAACAAUCAGGUUUUUGCGUAUGAUUUAAAAACAAAUAGCAUGUGCACAUUUAAUUGAAUUCUUCCUUAAAUUGCUCUUGUACGAAUGCGCAUCCUAUUAUUGUAAUAUUUGUAAUUUAAAAAAUGGUAGUAAUACAAAAAAUACUUUUCGUAAUCGUAAUAUUUUUAAUAUUACUAAAAGUUUCAAGUGAAGCACGUUGCAGGUUGUCCAGACGACGAAGAUGCGUCUAUACGAUCAGAAAUUAAAAUCACGUUAGUACGUAAUAAAGAGUGGCGAAUUAUUUAGUUAUGUUGUAGAUUGCAAAAACCGAAUAUGUACAAGAUUCAUUUGUUGUUGUUAAAUGCAGUAACUGAAUUGUUACAAUAAAGAGAAUGUGCACUUA